rnacentral:rRNA from 1 species
CCUACGGGUCGCAGCAGUCGAGAAUCUUUCACAAUGGGGGCAACCCUGAUGGAGCGACGCCGCGUGGAGGAUAAGGUCUUCGGAUUGUGAACUCCUGUCAUGCGUGAACAAGGUUGCCUGGUUAAUACCUGGGCAAAUUGAUGGUAACGCAAGAGGAAGAGACGGCUAACUCUGUGCCAGCAGCCGCGGUAAUACAGAGGUCUCAAGCGUUGUUCGGAAUCACUGGGCGUAAAGGGUGCGUAGGUGGCGUGGUAAGUCAGAUGUGAAAGCCCGGGGCUCAACCUCGGAACUGCAUCCGAUACUGCUGUGCUAGAGUACCGGAGAGGUGACUAGAAUUCUCGGUGUAGCAGUGAAAUGCGUAGAUGUCGAGAGGAAUACCAAAGGCGUAGGCAGGUCACUGGACAGUUACUGACACUGAGGCACGAAGGCCAGGGGAGCAAACGGGAUUAGAUACCCUCGUAGUC